UACGAAGGGUGCAAGCGUUACUCGGAAUUACUGGGCGUAAAGCGUGCGUAGGUGGUUUUUUAAGUCAGAGGUGAAAUCCUGGAGCUCAACUCCAGAACUGCCUUUGAUACUGGAGAGCUUGAGUCCGGGAGAGGUGAGUGGAACUGCGAGUGUAGAGGUGAAAUUCGUAGAUAUUCGCAAGAACACCAGUGGCGAAGGCGGCUCACUGGCCCGGUACUGACGCUGAGGUGCGAAAGCGUGGGGAGCAAACAGG
rnacentral:rRNA from 1 species